rnacentral:SRP_RNA from 2 species
GUCCGGGUGCUAUGCAAGCAGCUGCCAGAAAACCCCGCCAGAGGAGGAAUCCAGCAACGGUAUUUGGUCAGAUGCUGUGCCGUAGAUUACCCGGGCUUU